rnacentral:ncRNA from 1 species
AUAAAAGCAAUGAAAGAAAGAGUAUUAUGAAAAAUUAUGUCAGAGAAGACUCGGUUGGUGAAAGAGUUUCAUAGUGAUUCAUAAGAAGUGCAUUCUGGAGCUGGAUAUGUGAAGUAGUUUAGCAUAUCUCGUAGACUGACGUUACCAGUAAAUGAGAUAGGGGAUUUAUGUCCCUUAAUCAGAGUGGAACCGCGAGUGACUUCGCCUCUGAA